GUGCUCACUUGAGCAGCACAUAUACUAAAAUUGGAACAACACAGAGAAGAUUAGCAUGACCCCUGCACAAGGGUGACAUGCAAAUUCAUGAAGCAUUUAAGAGAAAG
ensembl:snRNA U6 U6 spliceosomal RNA